rnacentral:rRNA from 1 species
CCUACGGGAGGCAGCAGUGGGGAAUAUUGGGCAAUGGGCGCAAGCCUGACCCAGCAACGCCGCGUGAAGGAAGAAGGCUUUCGGGUUGUAAACUUCUUUUAAGAGGGAAGAGCAGAAGACGGUACCUCUUGAAUAAGCCACGGCUAACUACGUGCCAGCAGCCGCGGUAAUACGUAGGUGGCAAGCGUUGUCCGGAUUUACUGGGUGUAAAGGGUGCGUAGGCGGCUUUGCAAGUCAGAAGUGAAAUCCAUGGGCUUAACCCAUGAACUGCUUUUGAAACUGCAGAGCUUGAGUGGAGUAGAGGUAGGCGGAAUUCCCGGUGUAGCGGUGAAAUGCGUAGAGAUCGGGAGGAACACCAGUGGCGAAGGCGGCCUGCUGGGCUCUAACUGACGCUGAGGCACGAAAGCGUGGGUAGCAAACAGGAUUAGAUACCCGUGUAGUC